rnacentral:misc_RNA from 1 species
CAGUAGUGUUGUCAAAGCUUUUGAGACUUGGAAAAAUACACUUUCGGCUAUAGCUGUUGUAUUGAGUGCAUUGGCUAUUCUAGCUUCCGCAAGGCAGUGGAAGACCUUUCUCUUGGUAUCAGCAGGCUUGUGCUUGGCAGGAGUUUAUGCAUGCUCAACUGCUAUUGCAAUGAAUACAACAAAUUUCAUAAGAACACACAGAAGACUAUGAUUAGGCAGGGGGUUUUACAAGUUCUAAUAUCUGUAUGCCCAAUUGACGUCACGCCCUAAACCUUCAUAUAU